AUCCAGGUGACGAGUCCCAAAUAGGACGAAACGUGCGUCAAAUUGGAU
rnacentral:hammerhead_ribozyme from 1 species